GUUCAUUUCAGCAGCAUACAUUAAAAUGGGAAUGACACAGAGAAGAUAAGCAAGAUCCCUGCUCAAGGAUGAUAUGUAAAUUAAUGAAGUGUUCUAUAUUUUU